GGCAGGGCGGGUGCUAUACAUGCAGUCGAGCGAAUGGAUUAAGAGCUUGCUCUUAUGAAGUUAGCGGCGGACGGGUGAGUAACACGUGGGUAACCUGCCCAUAAGACUGGGAUAACUCCGGGAAACCGGGGCUAAUACCGGAUAACAUUUUGAACCGCAUGGUUCGAAAUUGAAAGGCGGCUUCGGCUGUCACUUAUGGAUGGACCCGCGUCGCAUUAGCUAGUUGGUGAGGUAACGGCUCACCAAGGCAACGAUGCGUAGCCGACCUGAGAGGGUGAUCGGCCACACUGGGACUGAGACACGGCCCAGACUCCUACGGGAGGCAGCAGUAGGGAAUCUUCCGCAAUGGACGAAAGUCUGACGGAGCAACGCCGCGUGAGUGAUGAAGGCUUUCGGGUCGUAAAACUCUGUUGUUAGGGAAGAACAAGUGCUAGUUGAAUAAGCUGGCACCUUGACGGUACCUAACCAGAAAGCCACGGCUAACUACGUGCCAGCAGCCGCGGUAAUACGUAGGUGGCAAGCGUUAUCCGGAAUUAUUGGGCGUAAAGCGCGCGCAGGUGGUUUCUUAAGUCUGAUGUGAAAGCCCACGGCUCAACCGUGGAGGGUCAUUGGAAACUGGGAGACUUGAGUGCAGAAGAGGAAAGUGGAAUUCCAUGUGUAGCGGUGAAAUGCGUAGAGAUAUGGAGGAACACCAGUGGCGAAGGCGACUUUCUGGUCUGUAACUGACACUGAGGCGCGAAAGCGUGGGGAGCAAACAGGAUUAGAUACCCUGGUAGUCCACGCCGUAAACGAUGAGUGCUAAGUGUUAGAGGGUUUCCGCCCUUUAGUGCUGAAGUUAACGCAUUAAGCACUCCGCCUGGGGGAGUACGGCCGCAAGGCUGAACUCAAGGAAUUGACGGGGGCCCGCACAGCGGUGGAGCAUGUGGUUUAUUCGAAGCAACGCGAAGAACCUUACAGUCUGACAUCUCUGAACCCUAGAGAUAGGGCUCUCUCGGCAGCAGAGUGACAGUGUGCAUGAUGUCGUCAGCUCGUGUCGUGAGAUGGUGGGUAGUCCGCAACGACGCAUCUUGAUCUAGUGCAUCAUAAGUUGUCAUUAAGUGACUGCCGGACGACCGAGAGUGGGAUGACGGCCAUCAUCAUGCCGUUGACUGCCUACACCGGUCAUGACGUCAGAGCGACCGCACGUGACCGAUUGCCGCAGAGAAACGGUUUCUCAGACU
rnacentral:rRNA from 1 species